UACGUAGGCAGCGAGCGUUGUUCGGAGUUACUGGGCGUAAAGGGUGUGUAGGCGGUUGUUUAAGUUUGGUGUGAAAUCUCCCGGCUCAACUGGGAGGGUGCGCCGAAUACUGUCGGGCUUGAGUAUGGGAGAGGUGAGUGGAAUUUCCGGUGUAGCGGUGAAAUGCGUAGAUAUCGGGAGGAACACCUGUGGCGAAAGCGGCUCACUGGACCACAACUGACGCUGAGGCGCGAAAGCGUGGGGAGCAAACAGG
rnacentral:rRNA from 1 species